GAACCAAACUUUUAACACAAGAAAGCCGAAGUAUAUAUUUUACUCGAUACAAACUUUUUUUUUUUGAAGAUCCGCUGUAAUAAUGAGAAAGAUUUCUACAUAUACGCACAAAUCGGUCGAUAAGAUGAGAAUCAGAGAAAUCGGACCAAGUCGACUUACUGAUAGGAUGCCCUAAUGCGUUACAAAACCGCGCCUUAGUCAAUGAUCCAAUCAGAUGAAUAAUUGGAACGGUCGUAUCGACCUUCUUCAUAGAAUUAUCUAUUAGAAAUGAAUUUUCUAGCAUUUGACUCCGUACCAACAAAGAAUUUAGUCGCACACCGGAAAGAUAGCCCAGAAAGUUAAUAGCGUACUUGCCUAAGUAUAAGUGGUUUAGCUGAACCCUUCCUGGUUGAGAAGACGCGUGAAAAUGCCAUUGCCAUAAACCGACAAGGUAAUAUUUCCAUUUAUUCAUCAGAAGAGGCGUAUCCUUUGAAGCCAAAAUGGAUUUUCCUUGAUAUCUAACAUAAUGCAUGAAAGGAUCCUUGACCAACCCUAAGAUGUCCUGAAAAUCUUUAGCAAAGACUUCGACAAGAUGUUCGACUUUUCCAUAGAAAUACGUUCGCUCAACGAGGACUUGAAAGGAUGUUGAUUGUAAAUGAGACGAUUGGUUACAGAGAAAAAAGAGGAUGGAUUCAUAUUCAUAUACAUGAGAAUUAUAUAGAAACAAUAACAAUCUUGGAUUACUUUUUAAAAAAACAGAAAUAGAGUUCUUUGGAGUAAUAAGACUGUUCGAAUUAAAAUACUCGUGGAGAAAGAACCGUAAUAAAUGUAAAGAAGAGGCAUCCUUUACCCAUUCGCGAAGGGUUUGAACCAAGAUUUCGGGACAAAUGGGGUAGGGUAUUCGUACAUCUAACACAUAAUUUAAAUGGGACAAUUUAUCCUCGAAAAAAGGAAAUAUUGAAUGAAUUGAUUGGAAAUUAGGCGAUUUUUCAAUUUCUUUCCCUUCUAAAAAAGCCAACAACCGUAGGGAAAAUGGAAUUUCCACCACAGCAGCAAAUACCUCUGAUAUAAUUUGAGAAUAUAACUUAUUGUUGUGCCCAAAAAUCGGAUUUUGAUUCGAAUCAUUAGCAGCAAUACUCAAAUUAAUCCGUUGAUACAUUCUAGUAAUUAACCGUUUCACACUUAGUGAACUAGAUUUAUUGUCAUAAAACCCACCUUCCAAUGACAUCAUCGAGCUAUUUAAACCAUGAUCAUGAGCAAGUACAUAAAUAUACUCCCGAAAAAGAAGUGGGUAUAGGAAGUCGUGUUGUUGAGAUCUAUCUAGUUCUAAAUAUACUUGAAAUUCCUCCAUUUGAAAUUCGAUUAAAAACAAAGGUAAGGGAUUUAGUGAGCGAUCAAACGAUACAUAGUGCGAUACGGUGAAAACAAAGUAUUGUAGUAAAAAAGUGGAUACCUUGAAAAUGGGUAGACUCAUCACCGGAUUCUCUAUCCUCUCAUUUUGAGUUAAUUUAAUUGGUUUAUGUUUGUUAUAGUUAUAGUAUAACUAAGUGGUUAGAAACCCUUUAUUUUUUCACUCCAAUCGCUCUUUUGAUUUUGGAAAAAAAACAACUAUAUUUAUCAAUAUACUGCUUCUUCUACACAUUCAGUUACAACCCAUAAUAGGGACCCGCUAAUACUUAGGACUCAUUAAAUAAAUCGAUAAUCCCUCAUGGGAAAACCUUUCCCCGCGUUAGGAACUAAUAUCUUUUUAACGUUUAAUUAGAUCGGAUAAUCAUUCAAAUUAAGAACCGAAGCUCGUUACUUUUUGUUUCCCUAUAAUUGGAACCCUAGGGCUCUAUCCAUUUAUUAACUCGACCCAACUCUUAAUAAUUAUAUUUAUUUUGUUCCGCGCCAAGAAUUCAAACUUGGUUUUAUAGCGAUUGAACAAGAAUAAAAUAUUCUCAAAAUUAUCCAUUGAUACGACAUGCUGUUUUUUCCAUUCAUUCCUUUCAGGAUCAGUCGCAGUCUUACAAACUCUCCCGAAGAUUUGGACGAAUUCUUUGCUUCAUAGAAAUGUGUAAAAGAUGCUAGCCGUACUUAAAAGCCGAGUACUCUACCGUUGAGUUAGCAACCCAAAUAAUUCGAAUGGGUAGAUAGAAUCGGAAUAAAAAAAAAUAAAAAAAAAAAAAGGAAUUUCAAAACGGAAUCAAAAAAUGAAAUUAGCAAGAACUCGAAUCAAAAAAAUUUCUAAUCGAUUUUGAACAUAAAAAAAAGACAACCAAAACCUAUGGAACGGAGAUAAAUGGGCCCAUUUCUCCAUGAGAAAAUUAUAUUUGUUCACUACAAUAUUGUCAAUAUGACAUUGAAUAUUGAAUAGCAAGAUUGAGAAAAUACUAAAAACAUACAAUAACAAAAACAAAAAGAGUUAAUUGGUUAUUUAUUAAAUUGAAUUCAAAUCCAAAUAACAAAUCAAAUUAUAUAUUAAUAAAUAGAUAUAAUAAAUAUGGAAAUUAAUAAAUAAUAUCUAAAGAAUUAGAUAAAUAAAAAACUUUAAGAAUACUUUUUUAGAGUUUUAGAGAAAGACUUCAAAAAAAAACCGAAAAGAAAUAGGUCUGAAUAGAACAAAAGGGGGGAUAGUAAAGAAAAAAUUAUACAAAACUAGAUAAAGCGCAUCCACACCCUCUUUUUUGUUCUAUUCCUUAAUAGAAUUUCGUUUGAUUAAGACUAACUUCUGUAAAAACCCCCGCUUUCUGUGAAAUAUCAUGAACGGUUCCUGUAGGUUGAGCGCCCUUGGCAAGGAAAUAUAGAAUAGCAGGAACAUUUAAAUGGGUUUGAUUAUUUAUCGGAUCAUAAAAACCCACUUUCCGAAGAUCUCUUCCUUCUCUUCGGGAUCGACCAUCAAUUGCAACGAUUCGAUAAACGGCUCAUUGGGAUAGAUAUAGAUGAACAGUACCCCCCUAGAAACGUAUAAGAAGUUUUCUCCUCGUACGGCUCGAGAAAACAAAAUGGUUCGAAGUGAUAGUUAUGUCUAUGUAUAGAAUUAGAAUGUCAAAUAGAUCUAUAAAAUAAUCAAAUCAAUUAGAGAUUUAAGUUAUUCUUUUUUUGUUUCUUUGUCAUUUUCAAAAGAAACAAAAAAAGAAUUCGUACUCUCAUAACUCAAGUUAGAUAAGUUUCAACGCCCAGCCGAAAAUCCUUAGGCAUUUCCUUUUUUGAGCGGUCUCAAGCCCUUUUUUGUUUGUCUCGUUUCGAAUCGAAUCUAUUUUUGGAUUGGAUUGAAUUGUUGAGACAAUUGAAAAAUGGUAUUUCCUUGUUCCAGGAUCCUUUAUCUUUGCUUUGAAUCAUUAGGUUUAGACAUUACUUCGGUGAUCUUUAACGUUUUUUAUUUUAAAAAAUGGCAGCAACACACCCCUUUUGAUUUCUUUCUAUCAAAGAAUCAUACGAACAAUUGAUUCCUACAGGAUACACUUUUGGUAGAAAAAGUUUUCCCAAUUCCAACAAAUUUUCCCCUUGCUUUUGGAUUUCAAAAUUGCUCGAAUCAGAUCCUUUCGAUUUCUAUAUCGAAAAUUUACUUACGAAGUUUUUUCCAACUUAUUGAUUGGUAUUAACCCUAGAUCCGUGCCCCUGAGAAAGGAAUAAAUACUUUAUACUCGAGCUCCAUCCUGUACUAGUUCCAUUACCCCCCCAAAAAAACUUGAGGAUUCUAAUAGAACAGAAGAAAAAAUGUCGAGCCAAGAGCCCAUUCAUAUAAAAUCGAAAAUGGUGGAUGUAAAAAACAAAUCCACAGCGGAUCAUGUCCUUCAAGUCGCACGUUGCUUUCUACCACAUCGUUUCAAACGAAGUUUUACCAUAACAUUUCUCUAGUUUGGAACCGGUAUGUAAUUGAUUCCAGUAUGGAAUCAUGAAUAGUCAUUGCUUCGGUCGAUACACAGACUUUUUUCCUUGUAUAUGAAGGGAAUAUUUAGGUUGUUAGUCGUUCAUCCGGAAUCCUGAAAUGAAAAAGAAAAUCAGAAUUACAAAAAUGGGCGAUUUCCGUAUCUAUCAGAUUAGACUGAACAAUUUUCGUUGGAAGUAAUUAUGUAUAUUGUAUGUUAAAUAUUUAAUUUAACAGGAAGAUAAGGGCUCACAAAUCUUAAAAGCAAAAGGACGUUAUCUCUGAAAUAGAAGGAUAGCAAUCCAUGCAUAUAAGCCUUUCCUCAAAUUAUGUGUCGUUUCUUUGGCUUGGGCUUCAGAUUCAAUAAUCUUUCCCCAAAUUCAAAAUAAAAUAAAUAAAAUAGAAAAUAAAGUAAAUAGUAUAAAAUUCAGUAAAUAGACUAUAUGAAUAACCCCGUCUCAAUUGUUAUUCCAGAGAUUUACAAUUAUUCAUUAAAAAAAGACCAAGACCGCAAAAUUUGGGUUAGAAUCAAAGAGCCUCCAUUCCAUAUAGAGCGGGAUUAUUGGUUAAUGAAAUUUGGACCGACACCGAUAUUCAAAUCGGUAUCUUUCAUUGCUCACUAACUCUUACCUACUCCCACCCCGAAUUCUUUCUGUGGGAAUCCUAAAUAAAUAAAAAAAAAAAGAUCCAUUUUACGGAAUGCUAGACUAUUUUGUAUAGAUACAAAGACAAAAGGGCCCAGAUUAAGUCAUUGUUUCCUUUCUAAUUUGUUGUUUUUUAUUUUAAUCUAACCUAGUCUUACUUAAGAGACUUAAUCCCGAAUUCAAUCAGUACAGGAAUACCCUCUUGUUUAGAAUUCCGAAUGAAAAGAGAAUAAUUGGGAUUCUAAAAAGAUAGGAAUGGGGAGGCUUUCCCAUUUCGAUUUAGAAUGGAUCUUUGAAAAUUCAAUUCGAGGGGGGGGCGUCAGACUUUUCUACGAAACUCGCUUAAAUAUGAAAGUGAAUGAAAGAGGAAGAGGGGGCAUACGCAAAACGCCCAUCCAACGUUUUUUAUUCAAACUCUUGUGAUCGAUGUUCCCGCUUGCGGGGACCACAAAUGCAUUCAGUUCCAUUUUCGUAUUAUUUGAAUUCGAUUCAAUUUGUGAAAAAAGAUCUGGUUGAGAAAAUAAUUUUUUAAUUCGAAAAAAAAAAAAAGAAAAAGACGUACACGUAUAUUUUAUCAAUAUAUACUUAAGAGGGUUGCUCAAACGGGAAUUGAAAUUUUUAUUCUGCCCGGUCUGGGACGGAAGGAUUCGAACUCCGAAUACCGGGACCAAAACCCGUUGCCUUACCACUUGGCGACGCCCAUUUCAAUUUCGAUUUGGUACUAAUAAAGAGUACCAGUGGUAUUGGCUGUUCGUCAAUUCCAGUCCAAAGCCCCAAAAUUCGAUUCUGAUUUUAGUGUUAGGAUUUUGACACAUAUAGGUGUAAAUACAACUUAAUUUAUUGAUCAUUACAUAGAAUUCAAUUAAGAUAUUGUAUGAAAGUAUGAUUUCUUCAUUCUCACACGAGAAUAGAAGGAUUUUUGUUUUGAUUGGUCGUUCCAAGAAGUUUUUUUUGUCUACCUUACUUUCUUUUCUUCAUUUUUAUCUUAUAUCAAUAAGAUAUUAAUAACUCAAUCAAAAUAAAUUAUCUCCAAGAACAAUGUUUGUUAUGCUUAAUAUCUUUAGUUUAAUGUAUAUCUGUCUUAAUUCUGCCUUUAUUCGAGUAGUUUUUUAUUCGCUAAUUACCGAGGCCUACGCUUUUUUGAAUCCAAUUGUAGAUAUUAUGCCAUAUACCUGUUCUAUUUUUUCUCUUAGCUUUGUUUGGCAAGCUGCUGUAAGUUUUCGAUAAGAUCUUUAAUAUUGUGCUAGAAAUUCAUGAUUUAUUCUAGUUCGAAGAAAAAAAAAUUCUACAAUUAUAAAUAAGAGCAGUGAGUCUUACAUAUGACGACCCCGCCUCAAUUCAAACAUUCAAACAAUGAAUUCUUGGGAACCGCGAUCCAUUUUGAUCCCCAUUUGCUAUUUGCAUUUUGCCCUUUUUCACUGAAACCAUCUUAUAUUAGAGCCAACCAAAUGUAGAUUCUAAUUGUGUGAAUUUAAUUUAUGAAAACGAUUUUCUAUUUAGAGAAUCAAUUCUAAAAGAACUUCAUUUCUUGAUGUCAAAUUGGAUAUGUGUAUAAAAAUAGAGAUCUAUUCUCUUUUUCCUUUUCCCCAAAACUGAUUUGGAGAUUGUUAAUGCUUACUCUCAAACUCUUUGUUUACACCGUAGUGAUAUUCUUUGUUUCGCUCUUCAUCUUCGGAUUCCUGUCUAAUGAUCCAGGGCGUAUCCGGACGCGAAGAAUAAAAAGGAAGGAGUUGCUUACUUUAUUCGUAUAAACGUUCUUAGGAUUUUUUGAUUCCCAGUUACUAUUAAAAAUAAAGUAAAAGUGUUCGCUAAGUUAAAUUUGAAAAUUACCAAGCCAUCGCCCGAAACGGAAAGAGAGGGAUUCGAACCCUCGGUACGAAGAACUCGUACACCGGAUUAGCAAUCCGACGCUUUAAUCACUCAGCCAUCUCUCUAAUUGAAAAUAAAAAUAAAAAAAAAAAUGACUAUGUUACAUUACACAAAAAUAAUGCUUGAAAAAGCCCGUCUUUACUUGAUUUUCUAUCUUUACUUUCUUAUUUCUCUUCUAUAUUCUCUAGAGGAAUAUAGAAGUAAAUUGAUUAUAUAGCUAUAGAAAAUAUAGCUUAUAGAUUUCUUUUUUUUAUUGUCUUUUGUAUUUCUAUUAUAUAAUAGAUAUAACUUUUAUCAGCAAUUCCAUUCUUAUUUUUUCGAAAAUUAAAAUAAGAAAGUUUCGAAAGAGAUAAAAUAGAAAAAUAAGAAAGAAUAUCUCUUAAUUUCGUUCACGGGCCUUUUUUAUUUCCACUUCCACGGCCUGGCCUGGUCAGUACAGCCGGGCCUUUUUUGUUCUAAUGACCCAUACCGCUGAACCGUAGAAGGGUGCGAACCAUACCAUAAAAAACGAUUUAUUUGAAUUUGAUUUGAAACCACAAAUGAAAUCCUUGUUAUUGUUUCAAAGGACAAUAAAGAAGGACUAUUCCAUUUUUUGAUUGAAUCAAGAAUCCAAUUUGUAUUUGGUGUGUGGAUAAAGUUAUUUUGUCGAGCCAUAUCUGUCAAAAUUCGUCCAACAAAAGAAAUUGUUUUGAAUUAUUAAAUUUAGUUAUUUAAACGAAAUAACUCCUCCUUUACGAGGACUCCUGACAAAGACGUCAACGUUCUAAUUUCCAAUUUUCAUUUCAUGAUUAUUUUAAAUUUAUGUCCUAUCUUGAUUACAUCUGAUUCUCUUGUUCGACAAAGGGCCCUUUUUAUACAAUAAUCGCAUUGUAGCGGGUAUAGUUUAGUGGUAAAAGUGUGAUUCGUUCAAUUAAUCCCCUUAAUAGUUUAAGGGUCCUUCAGUUUAAUUGAUAUUUCAAUCAAAACUUUAUUUCUUAAAAGGAUUCAAUUUUAAUCCUUUCACUCUCAAAUUUAAAUAAAAGAUUCGGAGAAAAAUAUCCGUUCUCGUGAUUGUAUCCAAGAGUCAAUUCGAAAUUGACAAUUUGGAUAUGAAAUUGCGAAACAUAAUUUUGUUUUUUGUUUUUGAAUUGGAUCAAUACUUCCAAUUUUUUAAGUAUA
rnacentral:lncRNA from 1 species